GUAAAGAGCGCAAACCUUGGCCUUUAUUGCCCACCUUUGGGGUGGGACUUUUAGGAGGAUUCCCCGGUGCCAAACCGGAGGAAGGUGGGGAGGAGGUCAAGUCAUCAUGGCCCCUUAGCGGCCCUGGGUUACACACCGUGCUACAAUGGUUGGUACAGAGGGUUGCGAAGUCGCGAGGCGGAGCUAAUCUCUCAAAGUCCAAUCGUAGUCCCGGAUUGGAGUCUGCAACUCGACUUCCAUGAAGUCGGAAUCGCUAGUAAUCGCGGAUCAGAAUGCCCGCGGUGAA
rnacentral:rRNA from 1 species